rnacentral:rRNA from 1 species
GAUGAACGCUAGCGGCAGGCUUAAUACAUGCAAGUCGUGGGGCAGCAGCUUUAUAGCAAUAUAGAGGCUGGCGACCGGCAAACGGGUGCGGAACACGUACUGAACCUUCCUUUACGUGGGGAAUAGCCCAGAGAAAUUUGGAUUAAUACCCCGUAACAUAUAAAAGUGGCAUCACUUUUAUAUUAAAGCUCCGGCGCUUAAAGAUGGCAGUGCGGCUGAUUAGGUAGUUGGCGGGGUAACGGCCCACCAAGCCUACGAUCAGUAACUGGUGUGAGAGCACGACCAGUCACACGGGCACUGAGACCCGGGCCCGACGCCUACGGGAGGCAGCAGUAAGGAAUAUUGGUCAAUGGACGGAAGUCUGAACCAGCCAUGCCGCGUGGAGGAUGAAGGUCCUCUGGAUUGUAAACUUCUUUUAUCUGGGACGAAAAAGGGCUUUUCUAAGUCAACUGACGGUACCAGAUGAAUAAGCACCGGCUAACUCCGUGCCAGCCGCCGCAGUAA